UACGUAGGGUGCGAGCGUUGUCCGGAAUUAUUGGGCGUAAAGAGCUCGUAGGCGGCCUGUCGCGUCGGAUGUGAAAGCCCGGGGCUUAACCCCGGGUCUGCAUUCGAUACGGGCAGGCUAGAGUUCGGUAGGGGAGACUGGAAUUCCUGGUGUAGCGGUGAAAUGCGCAGAUAUCAGGAGGAACACCGGUGGCGAAGGCGGGUCUCUGGGCCGAUACUGACGCUGAGGAGCGAAAGCGUGGGGAGCAAACAGG
rnacentral:rRNA from 1 species